GGGCGUGUGGCUCAGUUGGUAGAGCGUUCGCUUAGCAUUUCCCACGAGCCAUCCUCUUCACGAGGUUGUGUCUGGGCAAAUUCUAUCUUUCUGCGAAAGGUCCUGGGUUCGAUUCCCAGCUUGUCCA